rnacentral:rRNA from 1 species
AUUGAACGCUGGCGGCAGGCCUAACACAUGCAAGUCGAACGAGUGGCGGACGGGUGAGUAAUGUCUGGGAAACUGCCCGAUGGAGGGGGGUAACUACUGGAAACUGUAGCUAAUACCGCAUACCAUCGGAUGUGCCGAGAUGGGAUUAGCUAGGAGGUGGGGUAACGGCUCACCUAGGCGACGAUCCCUACCUGGUCUGAGAGGAUGACCAGACACACUGGAACUGAGACACGGUCCAGACUCCUACGGGAGGCAGCAGUGGGGAAUAUUGCACAAUGGGCGAAAGCCUGAUGCAGCCAUGCCGCGUGUAUGAAGAAGGCCUUCGGGUUGUAAAGUACUUUAAGCGAGGAGGCGUUACUCGCAGAAGAAGCACCGGCUAACUCCGUGCCAGCCGCCGCGGUAAUUC